rnacentral:rRNA from 1 species
AUUGAACGCUGGCGGCAGGCUUAACACAUGCAAGUCGAGCGGGCGAGGUUGCCUCGGUAACUGAGCUAGCGGCGGACGGGUGAGUAAAGCUUAGGAAUCUGCCUAUUAGUGGGGGACAACAUUCCGAAAGGGAUGCUAAUACCGCAUACGUCCUACGGGAGAAAGCAGGGGAUCACUUGUGACCUUGCGCUAAUAGAUGAGCCUAAGUCGGAUUAGCUAGUUGGGGGGGUAAAGGCCUACCAAGGCGACGAUCUGUAGCGGGUCUGAGAGGAUGAUCCGCCACACUGGGACUGAGACACGGCCCAGACUCCUACGGGAGGCAGCAGUGGGGAAUAUUGGACAAUGGGGGGAACCCUGAUCCAGCCAUGCCGCGUGUGUGGAGAAGGCCUUUUGGUUGUAAAGCACUUUAAGCGAGGAGGAGGCUUACCUGGUUAAUACCUGGGAUAAGUGGACGUUACUCGCAGAAUAAGCACCGGCUAACUCUGUGCCAGCAGCCGCAGUAACAC